rnacentral:rRNA from 1 species
GACGAACGCUGGCGGCGCGCCUAACACAUGCAAGUCGAACGGAGCUUAGAGAGCUUGCUUUUUAAGCUUAGUGGCGAACGGGUGAGUAACGCGUGAGUAACCUGCCCUAGAGUGGGGGACAACAGUUGGAAACGGCUGCUAAUACCGCAUAAGCCCACGGUACCGCAUGGUACUGAGGGAAAAGGAUUUAUUCGCUUUAGGAUGGACUCGCGUCCAAUUAGCUAGUUGGUGAGGUAACGGCCCACCAAGGCGACGAUUGGUAGCCGGACUGAGAGGUUGAACGGCCACAUUGGGACUGAGACACGGCCCAGACUCCUACGGGAGGCAGCAGUGGGGGAUAUUGCACAAUGGGGGAAACCCUGAUGCAGCGACGCCGCGUGGAGGAAGAAGGUUUUCGGAUUGUAAACUCCUGUCGUUAGGGACGAUAAUGACGGUAC